UCACUUUGGCAGUAUAUAUACUAAAAUUGGAACGAUACAGAGAAGAUUAGCAUGGCCCCUGCACAAGGAUGACACACAACUUGGUGAAGCAUUCUAUAUUUAA